GGGGUGGGCCGGGAGGGACGAUUGUGACACUGGAGGGAAUGUUUACUUGUGCAGAAGUCUUUCUCGUGGAAACACGCUGCUCCCUAACUCCUGGCUAAGCAGACUUCAGUUCACCAACUUUGCUGCCGUACAGCACGUGUAACUCCUUGACAGGAUGGCAGACAAAAGAACAGCUGGUGCAAAGCAAUAGGGGAUUCGUAGCAAGGAGGAGGAAAGAAAAUCACAAACCUUUCGCCCGCACCGCUGACGUCCGACGCUUGCCAGAGCAGCAGUUGCAACGGGACGAGCUGAAGCCACCAUGCGCAGGUCUAGCACCGAUGAGUCGACCUAUCACAGGAGCCCUUCCCUGGACAGCAAGGAUUACAGUUUCCCAAAUGGCGCCUUUCGUCGCUACAGCAGCAUGUAUGGUGGCCAGUUUGGGGCUGCCAGCAACUCUUUUUUUGGAUUCCACACCAACCCAGGCCCGAAGGCCACCAAGGCUAAGUACACGUCCCCCAAGGGGAACAAGUACGUUGUCUUUUACCUGGAUCUCUCAUUUAUUUUUCUCCUAGAACUGAAGAGGUGCAGCAUGGCUCACAACUGCCUGCAGUGUAUCAAGUACCUAAUGUUUGUCUUCAACCUUCUCUUCUGGUUGGGAGGCUGUGGAAUCCUUGGAGUUGGCAUCUGGCUGGCUGUUACCCAAGGGAACUUUGCCACCCUCUCCUCUUCUUUCCCGUCUCUGUCAGCUGCCAACCUACUGAUCGUCACAGGGACAUUUGUCAUGAUCAUUGGCUUCGUGGGCUGCAUAGGCGCCAUCAAAGAAAACAAGUGCCUCCUGCUGAGUUUUUUUAUCAUGCUGUUAAUUAUAUUUCUGUUGGAGCUCACUGUUGUGAUUCUGUUCUUCGUCUACACUGACAAGAUUGACACGUACGCUCAGCAGGAUCUGAAGAAAGGGCUUCAUUUGUAUGGGACAGAUGGAAAUAUCGGCCUAACUAAUGCAUGGAGCAUCAUUCAAACAGAUUUCAGAUGCUGUGGCGUCUCUAACUACACUGACUGGUUUGAAGUGUAUAAUACAACCCGGGUGCCAGACUCCUGCUGCUUAGAGUUCAGUGAGAACUGUGGACUCCAUUCCCCAGGGACAUGGUGGAAAGCGCCUUGCUACGAAACAGUGAAAAUAUGGCUCCAGGAAAACUUACUAGCAGUGGGAAUCUUUGGAUUGUGCACAGCUAUGGUGCAGCAUCUGAUGGCUGCCUUUCAUGGAGAAGUCAACUCUCCCGUGCUCUCACUGUUCAUUCUGUAAAACAGCAACGCAGAUAAGAACCAAAGGCAGACAGAAACUAGGAACAGAAUAAGGACAUGAGCUGGCAGGAAAAGCAGUAUGUUGUAUGUCUUCCUGUGUGUGAACAAAACCAGUAUUCUUGGACUCACAUUUGCGAUGACCAUGUAUUGUCAGGUAGUCAAGGCAGACACCUACUGUGCAUAGAUACCAUUCCCAAUCUUUCUGCUCCUCCUCCAAAGGACACAGGAGAAAUCUCCUUCGUGCUUAUUCAUCUGACCUUCCCCCCUCCCCUUUGUACUAUAAACUGUGUAUAAUGCUAUCUUUCUGAAGAUUUUGUGAAUCACCCCACUCUACCGAAGGAGGAAGAAAAGAAAAAGUCAGUACUUGAACUGGCACAGGUAAGAAGCAGCCUUGUCUUUAAGCAGAAGAAAGCCUCCAAAGAGCAACGGUUCCUGGCCUAUAGCAAAGGCAAAGGGGGCUGCUUACGAGGGACCGAUCUGCAAACUGAUAUUAGGAAAAGAUUGCACUGAGGCAACCUCUGUGAAACCUGCCAGGUUGCCUUUCCGCAUUUCACGGUCUGGAAGAGAGGGCAUAGAAAAUGCAUAGUCUUCAGGAUGGAAAGAAAGUACAGAGUAGCUAGCACUGAAUGCAAUUGUAAUUUUACUACAGUUUGCGCACCGCUAAAGUGUCAAGAUCAAGCAGCCCUGCCUCCAAGUGUCUCAAGAUGAUUUUGUAGCCAGGAGAGGAUCAUCUUCAGAAACAUGUUAUUUUAAAGGAGUACUUUUAAUCUUAUGCACUGCAAAGUCAGGCUUUUAAUCAGAAUCUGUACAGUGAGAUCUGGCUGUUACGGGAAAACAAUAUUGGACAUUGUCUCACUUAUUAAUUGCCAGUGGCAUAUAGAUGUUGACCAUAUAUGUAAUAUAUAUUACAUUCAUAUACACACACUGUUCUGAAAGGAGGUGAAAAUACCCAGCAUCUAAACUCAGAAAGAGGGAACCUUUCCAUCCCAUUUUACAUUCCAACUGAAAUAACCAAGUAUUAUUUCUUGUAGGAGGCACUAUCACUUAUACCUCUGGGAAACAAGUAAUUACUUUCAGCUGUAUCUUCAUUUCAGUAAACAACUUGUGAGUGGGCUCUCUCUGUCAUUCUACUGUGGUUUUAUUUUUUUAUCAUCCCUGUUUCAUGUUAGUCUGCCAAAAAAUAUCACUCAUUUCCACACCUGAAGAGCUGUCAGCUGUUCUUUCCCUGAAUGUCACCAUUUCAUUAAUUUACUUUGGGAUAUCAUCAUCUGCAGGUAUGAUAGAGUUUGCCUUGCUGAGGAAAAAUCUUUUGCACAUUGCUCAUUUUUCUGAGAGUUAUUAAGACUUCAGAUGUUUUUAUGCUUAGCGGUUUUUUUUCCCCAGCUGCAUGCUUGCAACAGCCAAGACAGAGUCUUUGUUAGAACUGGAGUUACCUCUCAGUUCUGUUUUUCAGACCCAUCUCCCUCCGCCUGGAUGUUGGCUAGAAUAUGCCACACACUUUCUGGAAUUUGCAGAAAUCAAAAUCAUAACUUUCCUUAGCCAUUAAAAAAAAAAAAAGACACACAGCAAACAAAAACCACCAAAACACCAGUUGUCUGAUUUCCCCACCCUGCAUUGGUAACUGAAGUAAUUUAUGUAGUACCUUUCUGUGCACACCUUCUAGCGAUGACAUUAAGAAUCAGAUGUCUCCUAUUGUGCAAACAAACAAUUCCCCAUCAGCAAGAGGCUGCAGAUAAUGCACAUGUGAUGGCAAGAAGCUGAAGCACCCCAGGGAAAGGACACAGCAGGGAGCAGGGAAACAAAGCAAUGCAGCUGGCCUGCUCGCUGCAGCCAGCCUUUGAGGACCUCUCAGCCACCAACAACAGACCACAGACACAACCACAGUGCCCUGUUUUCCCAGAAAGCUCAAUGCAGCCAUUCUUACUGUGACAGACUAGAAGAAUGCAUCAAGUUCAGGCAAAAAAAAGUUACCCUGUACCUUUAGUGCUUACAACAGCCGGUCUCAGCUAUGAGUGACAUUUUGCUUACUUUGAUUUAAAGGCAAUUUCCAGCAGUAAAGCUGGACUUACCAGCCCACAGCCUAUUGAACAAGCUCCUUAACACCCGUAAGUAACCCUGUUCUGGAGCUGCACCAUUGACAAAUACUACCCUCACUGCUUAGGUUUUGGGGGUGGUUUCUUUUUUUUUUUCUUUUUUUUACCUCUUUGUUGAUUUCCUGCAGUCUUCUCACCCUCGGGCCCGAACUACAUGUUUUGCAGGGAAGUGCUUAGGACAGUCUGGUGUGUGAAAAAACAAGCAUCUUCCAAAAUCUUACCCCCCUACCUUUAUUCAUCAACCUCUGUAGCAUGGGGCAGUUAGCUGAGCAGGCUAAGUUGAAAGUAAUGUGCAUUUUUUGGUGGAUUCCCAGUCACUCACUAUCACAGCAACCUCACCACCACUAAAAGAUUUUAUUGCCAUGCUAACAAGCCUUGACAAAUGUUAACAGACCUUGACUAGGACAGACGUUAAACUGAGUGAAUACCCCACACACAAGUGCCCUGUACCCUAAGCAAGAGACUUACUCUUGGUGUUAAAAUCACAGCAGUCUCACUGCUCUCUGAGCCCAGGCUGACCUGUCAACAGUCGUGCUCUUCAAAAGGUGGUGUAAGGUCAUGCCUUCCCUCUCUCUGCUCUGUUCCUUUCUUACCUGCAAUAAACACGAUUACAGGUGAGAUGUACCAAUAAUUCUUGCCAUGGUUUAUAGUUUGUAUGCACAGGUGUUCCUGCUCACAGCUCAGAGUUUCCACCCCUGAAAAGCAGCAUAAUACAGUGAUGAAUACCUUAAUAAAACAUUGAUUUUUUUUUUUUUUUUUAAGAAAGAUAAAAGGUAGACAAGUCUAUUUGUAGUGAUCCCUGCCAUUAAAAAUUAACAGAGGCAGCAGGCUGACGAUGGUUCAGUUGAUAAAAGCAAACCAUUGUGCAACAGAGCUCCCAGAGAGGGCAACUCUCAUCAAUUUGCCUGAUGGAAGCGUAGGGAGAAGAGAGAUCACAAACUCAUCCUGUGAGUCUCCCAGUAGUAUGUGCUGAGCUCUUAGAGAAGGCUGCUAGACUUCAGCUAAACCUACAGAAGAAACAAAAUGAGAAACAGCAACUGAACACAGCUCACACUUUGUGGGUCCUUUCAAUAAUUUUCCACAGUUUAGGGGUUUUUAUGACAAGCUAAACUGCCUCAGUUUUCAAUAACUCCUCUAUAGGGAGUAUAAGCAAUACUCACUUCGUAAAUCCCAGUCGCUGCAACAGAAAUGUACAGCACCAACUGCUGAAAAGAAAGGAAAAGAAAAAAAGAAAAAAACCAGACCACACAGAGCUGCUAAUAAUUCCUUUUUUUUUUUUUUUUUUUAAACACUACCCUUACACUGCCAGCUGAGCUGCUACUGCAACUUGUUUAUAAUUUGAACUGGACUAUUUUCUAUACUUGAUGUUAUUAACUCUCUUCACACAGGCCAAACAGAUGUUAUGGUGCUUAAGGCAUUACCAGCACAAUCCAAUUUCAAACCUCUGAACAUACUGCAUAUAACAAGCCUCAGACUUACCAUAUUUUCUUUUUGAAAUCAUUGCAUCCUUUCUCUGGUGACAAGGUCAGACUAUUUUGUGAUCUGUAACAGCAAGAAUCUUUUUUUAAAAACAAACAAAAAAAAAAGGGUAGUUCCACAUUAUGCAUAAAACUUUAUGCUGAACUGGCUGAUUAUAAACACCCUGUAGUACAUAAUACCCAUUUAAAAGGUUGCUUUACGUAUGCAGAGCAACACAGAAGUCAUUCCAAUUGCUUCCAUUAGUGUUCUGUCACUUUUCGUAAAGUCUUUUAUAUUAUUUUCACUUCUUAAGAUGAAGGACUCUAUACAUUUAAAUUAAAGACAGAACCAAAGGCAACAAAGACAUUGAAGGAUAGCACUCCUAAUUUACACUCACUGCUCUUCCUGCUUAGUAACAAGAUGUGAAGGCACAGGGUGCGUGGCUGGACCCACUCAAUUCAGCAACAUCAGGAUGAAGCUUUUUGAUUCAGUCUGAUUACUUCCCUCUUUUCAUGUUCACAAUUAUAAUAAUAUAUAUGUGUAUAUAUAUUUAAUAGAAUAUGGUUUAUUUUCCUGUACACUGUCAGUAGCAGCCAAAUAUUACUGCUUGUACAACAGGAUUAUUUAGCUCCACAUUUUAUAGUGCACACUCACUGAAAUUCACUCCAGUUUCUGUUCUACGAAUACUUCUUUGUUCCUCCCCCUCAAAGAAUAUGAACUCCUAAAGGUUUAUUCUUCCAUUUAAUAAUUACCAUUUGAAUGCAGCAUUGUAUGAUUUAAAAUAUGGAGAGGAAGGAACUGCACAGAUAUUGUAAAAAUAUUUUAUCUUGCAUCAGCAAUACGGCUGCUAUGUGAAUCCACCCCAAACCCCUCACUUCUGGCAAAUAAUUAAGAACUCUACGCCUUUCAGUGCGCGUGGCUCCCGCUGCCUCUCCCCCCACUCACAGCUAGGGUAGGAGGCUGCUAGCACAGAGAAAGUCAAAGCCAUUCACUUACCCUUAGCUUCAUUGUCGUGCUAUAGAUGUGGCACCAACGGUAAGCAACAGAAACCAGCAGUUGAUUGUGACGUUUAUUUUAAAACCAGACUCCUCAUUAACUUUGUCUGCAAAGAUUCUUGCUAAGUGUGAAUGAUCUUACUAGAUACCGCGUUAGGCAAUCCACAGUAAGAAAACAGGUCAGGACUUGCCAUGGGAAAUUUUGUUUGGAUUCCAUUGUGAAUUCUCCUAGAUUGUCACUGGUACCUUACCGCAGUGGGCAGGUCUCCUCAGUUCCUUGGAAUUUUGUCACUGCAGCUACAAUGAAACGUUUUUGUGCAUUCAUAGAAUGAACAAAAUUUAAGAUACAAGUUUUAUUUUUCAAAAUUUAUUAAAUAUUCUUUAAAGUUUACAACAGAA